UGCCCCCUCAAAGACCAAUUAUUAAUAAUAAAAGAAAAGGAAAAAAGUUCAUUUUCGGUUUCUAACCUAACAUUCAAUAUGAUUUAUUAUUUAUAAUGAUGCUAUAGAAAUAAUUAAUAAUAAUUAAAUAUGUAUAAAUGUUUAAUUUUACACGUUAAAUCACGAAACGUCACGUUACGUCACUUAUCCUAAAUUCAAACCAGAUAUCAUGUGAUACCAUUAGUGUAACUAAAAUAUUGAACGUAGCAGCGAUGGUUUCUUUAAUUUUAUUCGUUUAUGUGUUGUUUGUCUGUCCCAAUGGAUUAUACUUUUUAGAAUUUAGAAAUGACACGUUUUAUUUCAAAAUGGAUUUAAAUAAACCAAUUCGUAAAGUUUCAAAAGAAUUUCUUAGUGUUGCUUUGGAUACAAGUAUUUUAACAAGAGAGAAAAUGUGGGAAAGAUUCAAUACCAGCUCUCCGUAUCUCUUGUCAAUGGCAGAAGCUCUUUCGCCAGCAUUUUUCCGCUUUGAAGGCAACUAUGCCGACUAAUAUGUGAAUACAUAAAAUUUUACAUAAUGAGAGAGUAAAUAAUUUCCAUGUUGUUAAAACUGAUAUAUUCUUGCCAAUAAAGUCAAACCUGUAAGUGGCUACUGACGAAAACAUAAAAAGUGGCUGUUAUUGGAGGUUCGACAGUAUCAAUAAAUUUAAAUUAACAAACAUUAAUUUUUCAUAAAAGUAAGUCUUAUGAAAAAUGAAUGUUUGAGUAUUUUAGUAUCGCGAAAGAAAAAUUACGUUUAUUACUGGAAAUUAUAUAACGUAUUUAAAUCUGUUUUUUUUUUUUCAGUUCGAGUAGUUAAAAUAGAAUAUUAAUUUAUUCAAUGUAUCGGUAAUUAAAGAAAUUAAUUCAAAAUUAGUAGUUGUUUAAGUUUUUCUUGGAAUAGAUUAUAACCAUCAGUAGAAACAUACUGUUUGAAAGCUUCAUCAAAUUGACUUAAUGAAGCGGAAGGAGAUAUAUCCAGAUUGAGAAGGGUGUGAACAAAUAUUUUU